GUCUAUGGCCAUUCCACCCUGAACAAGCCCAAGCUAAGCAGGGUCAGGUCUGUUAGUUCUUGGAUGGGAGACCACCUAGGAAGACCAGAUACUGUAGGCA
rnacentral:rRNA from 1 species